rnacentral:misc_RNA from 1 species
AAAUUAAUAAUCAAAAUACAUUGAAUUACUAAGAAAAUAAAAAUGAAUUUUGAACUGAAUCCUAAUUCUAACCAUUAGAGUCAACUGGUGUUUUGUAGCGUUCAACAAAAUCAACCUUAGAAACGAUUAAGAAAACAUUUACAAGAUUAAUUCAGUGUUUAGAUCCUACAGAGAUUGGGGGGCCUAAGAACUCCAAAUGAAUUAGCUAUGCUCUUGUGCUUCCUCGAUCAUACCCUUCUGGACUCAGGAGGUACACAAUUCAAAAAUGCCGCAACUCUUGAGACUUACAUUAGCUUCAAGAAAUGCCGGGCCGGUACUGAGUGUUAUCUUUACAAUGUUCUCUUGCUUUGUAUUCUCCGUUUGAUAAUCCACAUCCUUCGGAUGGGAUCAAAGAGAUUAUGGCUUGAGUAAAUUAUUAUCAUCACAAACGCAACGUUAGCUUAUCAUACGAAAAGUGUCUCCCCAUGUGUUACCCAGUGCAGAAAGCGCUCUGACAAUCCACCCAUGAGGUCUUCGGAAGAGAGGUCGUCCGCAGUUUGAUUUCUUCCCUUCAAGCUAGAUCCAGACUCACUAGCAGAUGUUUCGCUUUUCAGCUCAUUCAUAAGAUAUUCAGAUGAUAGGCCAGCAAUUGACCUAUCAAAAGGAUCUUCUUCACAAGAAUUCCCUGAUGACGAAAGCCAGUCCAUAUCAAGAAAAUUUGAGCAGCUACAUGCAUCCCCAUGCUCUUCAUAGCAAAUAUGAUCACUGUCAAAGUAUUCAUCUUCUCCAGUAUUUUUAAAAAGCUGCUGACGAGGCAUUGAGGGAGUAUACCUAAAAUGACAGCCAACAGUUAAAUCAACGGUAAUGCAGUUUGAAUACCCCUCUAAUCAGUGUUCAUCAACAUUAAAUAACAUGUGUGAACACUUUAUUUGUAAAGUUGGUUGAACACUUUCUAGCCUGAUCUUUUAUGGCGUUAGCUAAAACAAAUGCUUAUACGGAUAUGAUGAUGUAACAUGGAGAUGUAAUUUAAAGAGACCUAGAGUAUGAUAUGUCACUUUCGCAGGUGGAGAUCUCUGGAGUUAAAUCUGAAAGACCCUUAUUAACUCCUUGCUCCUCAGAAAAAGGCUUAUCAUGUCCGACCUUGGUAGCUGCUACAAGAUUGCCAUCUGAUAGUGAUUUUUUGACGAAUGACCUGAAGAGAAUAGAAUAGAUAAUAAUGUCAUGAGGUAUUACACAAAAGGAACUGUUGGUUUUGGAAAUUAUUGAAGUGUAAUCACCAAUUCAUCAUAACGUCAUAGAAACACUAUCAUCAGUUUGUAUUACAUCCACAAAAGCACAGAAAAUCUACUGAACCAGAGUAAAAUCCACUUUGUUUCAUAAAACUUUCUUCAGAUAUGGAUAGGUAAAAGAGCAAAGAUAUCUUGGCAAACUUUUGAACAAAAACCGAGAGCUUUGAUCAUGACAAAAAAGCUCCUGUAUUAAAAAAUAAUAGGCCCCCCUCCAUCAUCUCUUUAUGCUGUCUGGCUACUUUUUUUUUUCCUCCUCCAUCUGAUAAAAGCAAUACGUGUGAAUCUAACAUGAUUUCCUGUACUUUUUUGGCACUUUCAAGGAAACCACAAUAU